AUCUAGCUGAGGAGUCACAAAUAGGACGAAAUGUGCAUCUUGGAU
rfam:Schistosoma mattheei strain Denwood, Zambia genome assembly, scaffold: SMTD_scaffold0006923